AGCACGAGUAGUGGUCACUUUUAUUGAGCCUAAAGCGUUCGUAGCCGGUUUUGUAAAUCUUCAGAUAAAGCCUGAAGCUUAACUCCAGAAAGUCUGAAGAGACUGCAAGACUUGAGAUCGGGUGAGGUUAAACGUACUUUCAGGGUAGGGGUAAAAUCCUGUAAUCCCGGAAGGACGACCAGUGGCGAAAGCGUUUAACUAGAACGAAUCUGACGGUAAGGAACGAAGGCUAGGGUAGCAAACCGGAUUAGAUACCCGGGUAGUCCUAGCUGUAAACAUUGCCCAUUUGAUGUUGCUUUUCCGUUGAGGGAAGGCAGUGUCGGAGCGAAGGUGUUAAAUGGGCCGCUUGGGAAGUAUGGUCGCAAGACUGAAACUUAAAGGAAUUGGCGGGGGAGCACCGCAACGGGAGGAAUGUGCGGUUUAAUUGGAUUCAACGCCGGAAAACUCACCGGGAACGACCUGUGCAUGAGAGUCAACCUGACAAGCUUACUCGAUAGCAGGAGAGGUGGUGCAUGGCCGUCGUCAGCUCGUACCG
rnacentral:rRNA from 1 species